GCGGCUGUUGCUUAAAGGUAAAGCGAAUAACUGUUAAUUAUUAAAUAGAGGUUCGAUUCCUCUCGGCUGCU